UGCGCCGAUGCCUUCUCCCUUCCCCCUUCCUUCCCCCUUUUCUCCUCUCCUCAUUUCCUUCUCCUUUUUAUAUUUUUCGUUGAGCAUUCUCCCUUCUCCAGAGCAAUGCCGGCAUAGAAGCGCACCCACAAGGCCAUGGAAGAUGAUCCUCCGCAUAACUACCAAGAAAACAGCCACGAAAUGCCCCAAGACGAAGAGGGUACGCCUUAUUUCUUCCAACUCCAGAUUCGUCCAACCCACCGCAUACAAACACCGUACACGCACAUUUCUUCUUCCCCGUUACAUGGUUUUUGGAUUUUUGCUUUCUCUGAUUCUCUGUGCCGUUGCUUCAUCUGUUCUUUCUCCUUCCUUUUGCUCCUCAAAGUCCGAUCGAAGCCCCUUACAGAGCACCGAAGAGAAAGACGAAUGGAGUUGGGUUUUGGAUCUUUUGAAUUCGAGCUUCAAAUUCCAUCGUGCAUGGGGGGAGGGGUUCAAGCAUGUUGCCCAAUCUGGUUUGCUCAUUAGCUGCAUAUUCUAAUCCGAACUUUUGCUUCACUUCAUACCUAUUGUUUCGAUGAUUGUUGGGUCAUUUCGAGCAAAAGGAGAGAAGAAUGCUCAACGAGAAGGAGUAUGGAGAAUGCUCUCAUGUCCUUUUUAGAUUUUUUAUUAUUAUUAAUAUAUUUGCUGUCAGUUUUAACGGACAGAUAAUGCUCUUACUUAUUCAUUAUUAAUAUAUUCUCUGUCGGUUAUAGCCGACACAAGUUCUGUCGCUUUUA